UACGAAGGGGGCUAGCGUUGCUCGGAAUCACUGGGCGUAAAGGGUGCGUAGGCGGGUCUUUAAGUCAGGGGUGAAAUCCUGGAGCUCAACUCCAGAACUGCCUUUGAUACUGAAGAUCUUGAGUGCGGGAGAGGUGAGUGGAACUGCGAGUGUAGAGGUGAAAUUCGUAGAUAUUCGCAAGAACACCAGUGGCGAAGGCGGCUCACUGGCCCGAUACUGACGCUGAGGCACGAAAGCGUGGGGAGCAAACCGG
rnacentral:rRNA from 1 species